GUAGUCCGCACCAUAAACGAUGGAUACUAGAUGUUUGGAGAAUUAACCCUCCGAGUAUCAAAGCUCACGCAUUAAGUAUCCCGCCUGGGGAGUACGGCCGCAAGGCUGAAACUCAAAGGAAUUGACGGGGGCCCGCACAAGCGGUGGAGUAUGUGGUUUAAUUCGAAGCAACGCGCAGAACCUUACCUGGGUUUGACAUCCUACGAAUACUGCAGAGAUGUAGUAGUCCCGCAAGGGACGUAGAGACAGGUGCUGCAUGGCUGUCGUCAGCUCGUGUUGUGAAAUGUUGGGUUAAGUCCCGCAACGAGCGCAACCCCUAUCCUUAGUUGCCACCAUUAAGUUGGGCACUCUGGGGAGACCGCCGGUGUUAAACCGGA
rnacentral:rRNA from 1 species